GGUGCCUUCGGGAACUCUGAGACAGGUGCUGCAUGGCUGUCGUCAGCUCGUGUUGUGAAAUGUUGGGUUAAGUCCCGCAACGAGCGCAACCCUUAUCCUUUGUUGCCAGCGGUCCGGCCGGGAACUCAAAGGAGACUGCCAGUGAUAAACUGGAGGAAGGUGGGGAUGACGUCAAGUCAUCAUGGCCCUUACGAGUAGGGCUACACACGUGCUACAAUGGCAUAUACAAAGAGAAGCGACCUCGCGAGAGCAAGCGGACCUCAUAAAGUAUGUCGUAGUCCGGAUUGGAGUCUGCAACUCGACUCCAUGAAGUCGGAAUCGCUAGUAAUCGUGGAUCAGAAUGCCACGGUGAAUACGUUCCCGGGCCUUGUACACACCGCCCGUCACACCAUGGGAGUGGGUUGCAAAAGAAGUAGGUAGCUUAACCUUCGGGAGGGCGCUUACCACUUUGUGAUUCAUGACUGGGGUGAAGUCGUAACAAGGUAACCGUAGGGGAACCUGCGGUUGGAUCACCUCCUUA
rnacentral:rRNA from 1 species